CCCCUGCGUGGUGUAUGACUGUGGGCCCCAGCGCGCUUGGAAUAAAAAUCCUCUUGCUGUUUGCAUCAAGACCGCUUCUCGUGAGUGAUUAAGGGGAGUCGCCUCUUCCGAGCCUGGAAGUUCUUUUUGCUGGUCUUACAUAUGGGGGCUCGUCCGGGAUCUGUCGCGGCCACCCCUAACACCCGAGAACCGACUUGGAGGGUGCUGCGAGGGGACCCUCUGCCCCUCCUGGAGCUCCGGCGGUGGAGGGACCUGCUGCAGGGACUCGGAGCCGCAAGGACGCCACCCCGGAGCGGACAGACGAGAUCGCGACAUUACCGCUGCGCACGUACGGCCCUCCCAUACCGGGGGGCCAAUUGCAGCCCCUCCAGUAUUGGCCCUUUUCUUCUGCAGAUCUCUAUAAUUGGAAAACUAACCAUCCCCCUUUCUCGGAGGAUCCCCAACGCCUCACGGCGUUAGUGGAGUCCCUUAUGUUCUCUCACCAGCCUACUUGGGAUAAUUGUCAGCAGCUGCUGCAGACACUCUUCACAACUGAGAAACGAGAAAGAAUUCUGUUAGAGGCUAGAAAAAAUGUUCCUGGGGCCGACGGGCGACCCACGCAGUUGCAAAACGAGAUUGACAUGGGAUUCCCCUUGACUCGCCCCGGUUAGGACUACAACACGGCAGAAGGUAGGGAGAGCUUAAAAAUCUAUCGCCAGGCUCUGGUGGCGGAUCUCCGAGGCGCCUCAAGACGGCCCACUAAUUUGGCUAAGGUAAGAGAAGUGAUGCAGGGACCGAAUGAACCCCCCUCUGUUUUUCUUGAGAGGCUCUUGGAAGCCUUCAGGCGGUACACCCCUUUUGAUCCCACCUCAGAGGCCCAAAAAGCCUCAAUGGCUUUGGCCUUUAUAGGACAGUCAGCCUUAGAUAUUAAAAAAAAGCUUCAGAGACUGGAAGGGUUACAGGAGGCUGAGUUACGUGAUCUAGUGAAGGAGGCAGAGAAAGUGUAUUACAAAAGGGAGACAGAAGAAGAAAGGGAACAAAAAAAAGAGAGAAAAAAAAAGAAAAAAAGAAAAGACGUAAUAAACGGCAAGAGAAAAAUUUGACUAAGAUCUUGGCUGCAGUAGUUGAAGGAAAAAACAACAAAAAAAGAGAGAGAGAUUUUAGGAAAAUUAGGUCAGGCCCUAAACAGUCAGGGAACCUGGGCAAUAGGACCCCACUCGACAAGGACCAAUGUGCAUAUUGUAAAGAAAAAGGACACUGGGCAAGGGACUGCCCCAAGAAGAGAAACAAGGGACUAAAGGUCUUAGCUCUGGAAGAAGAUAAAGACUAGGGAAGACGGGGUUCGGACCCCCUCCCCGAGCCCAGGGUAACUUUAAAGGUGGAGGGGCAACCAGUUGAGUUUCUGGUUGAUACUGGAGCGAAACAUUCAGUGCUACUACAGCCAUUAGGAAAACUAAAAGAUAAAUAAUCCUGGGUAAUGGGUGCCACAGGGCAACAACAGUAUCCAUGGACUACCCGAAGAACAGUUGACUUGGGAGUGAGACGGGUAACCCACUCGUUUCUGGUCAUACCUGAGUGCCCAGCACCCCUCUUAGGUAGAGACUUAUUGACCAAAAUGGGAACACAAAUUUCUUUUGAACAA